GUAGGUGGCGAGCGUUGUCCGGAAUUAUUGGGCGUAAAGCGCGCGCAGGCGGUUCGUUUAAGUCUGAUGUGAAAGCCCACGGGCUCAACCGUGGAGGGUCAUUGGAAACUGGAGAACUUGAGUACAGAAGAGGAAAGCGGAAUUCCACGUGUAGCGGUGAAAUGCGUAGAGAUGUGGAGGAACACCAGUGGCGAAGGCGGCUUUCUGGUCUGUAACUGACGCUGAGGCGCGAAAGCGUGGGGAGCAAACAGGAUUAGAUACCCUGGUAGUCCACGCCGUAAACGAUGAGUGCUAAGUGUUAGGGGGUUUCCGCCCCUUAGUGCUGCAGCUAACGCAUUAAGCACUCCGCCUGGGGAGUACGGCCGCAAGGCUG
rnacentral:rRNA from 1 species